CUGAAAUAGGUUGCCUGUGAGGUGUUCACUUUUCUAAACGAUGAAUAUUAUACAGUCAACCUCUUUCCGAUAUCGAAUC
ensembl:miRNA chi-mir-656 chi-mir-656